GGGUUUUCAGCUUUUGUUUCUAACUUAUUUGCAGACCAACCUUCUUCAUCUCCAUAUCUUUCACUCCUAUUCAAUUUCAUUGUAUCCUAUAUUAAAUCCAUAUAUUGAAAUCAAGAAAUAGUUGGAGUGUUUGUGUGUGCUGGUAACGGAGUUAUGAAUGAAAUCAAGAAAUAGUUGGAGUGUUUGUGUGUGAUGUUAGAUUUGGCAUUUAUUUCACAUUAGAAUUAGAGAGUGUUUCUUCAUAUAUCGAAGAACAAGUUGCAGUUGUUUUGUAUGGAGAUGACAUAGGAAAAUAUGAAAAGAAGUUCACUCCCUUCAACACAUAUUUGAUAUCAACUGCAAAAGUUAGACCACCUCUACCCUAUGGAAUUCCUGUCAAUAGGUUUGAAUGGGUUCUAGAUAGAUUUACUGUUAUUGAACAAGUAAAGGGAGACAAUGUAGAGGAUCCACCAUUGCCUGCUCCAACAAGAUUAAACACAGUAUCUUUAUCGAACCUGGACCAAGAGCCACGGCACAUGGAAUUUGUAUGCAUCAUUGUAUUUUUACCUUAUGGGAGGAUUUUGCUGCGAUUGAUGGAAGCGGCCUAGCUGCACAAAUUGAAGAACAUCCAAUAAUCCUAGCAAAACGAAUUGCACGGUCUUCAUAUGCUGGAACAUCCUUGACAACAAGAUACAAUUAUGUAAUAUUGAUAAAUCCAUCCUAUCCACAGGCUGCAGAAUUGAUGAACUGGGCAAAAGAGAAUGAAGAAAUGUUAGAGCACAUAUACGCAAAGAAGUUCUCCAGAAACAGCUUCAUCGCCAAUUCUUAUAUCUCUAAAUGAUGAGGCGAUACCUAUAGGAAAUAUCCAAGCACAACCAGCGAUGCAAUCUUUUCACAUUGAAGGUAAAAUAUCGUUGCUGGAUGAUAAGCAGCUAUUUUAUGAAUUGAUGUGUUCAAAAUGCAAGAACUUUGUUAGGACCAAAAUAAUGAAAGCUAUUGACUGUGUAAACUGUGAUCAACAAGCAAUGUUAACACCCAGGUGUCGCUUUCAAGUCCAAAUUGCAGAUGGAAGUGGAUCGACAAUUGCAACAUUAGUAGGUGAACCUGGAGAGAAUCUUCUUUCAAUGAAAGCUGAACAAAUCUAUGAAACAAUUAACGUGAAGAACGAAUCGCUGCCCCUUCCAGAUAUUCAACAACAUCUUGCUGACAAAGUGUUUAAAGUACAACUCAAGAAAUCUUUUUCUAGGAAUUCUGAUGAAACACCAGCAAAACUGUUCAUUUUGUCAUUUGCUGAGAAGCAGGAUACUCUCCAAUUGCCAGCAGUAUCAACUUCUACAAAUACUGGAGAAAGCAGUAAGAGAGAACUCGACAAGGUAGCAUCAGAAGAAGAACAAAAAAAGAUAAAUCAUUGGAAGUACCUCAUCUAGCAAAAGACAACAGACUGAGCGAACAACUCCAACCAAAAAAACUGCAUCUUCUAACAAAAGGGAGGGUAUCGAACCAGUCACUCCAGCUAAGAAGAAGUAAAGUUCAUUAUGACUGUGGCGAGGUUGUACAAAGGUCUUUUGGUGGCUUGUACAUACCAAACUUUUGAUGGCCUAGACGGUCAUGAAUCAGUUGAAAUAUACAGGACUAUCCAUGCUUAUAGCUUUUACUCUUAGUUUUGCCCACUGUGAAAAUGCUUAGGAGUCCUGUAACUAUAAUCUAAACUGCUUCUUCAAAAAUGCAAUGUAAAUAUAAUCUACAUUUUGGUUUGAA